UUGCUAUCAGUAAAGUCCUGUACCAUGACACCUAAAAGGAAGGAAAUGGUAAAGCAAAGUAAUAACUCAAAGACAGUCACCGAGGGCUUUUGUCCACCUUUAACUCAUUGUGGAACUUGACAUCAUCAGACAGUAAAUCAAGAGGUACUGACAACUGAGACUGAGUGAUGGUCCCUGCCUAGGAUUUGGAAUCUUUGCAUGAAAUAGGGACUCUAGCCACCAGCGACAAAGAAGUCAGGGAGACUGCGGUCUCUAGGAAGCACUUCCAGGAAACAGGAAUUCAGGCAAAGUUGGACAUUCCAAAGAUGGCGUAGAUGAACAUGACCAGGAAGAGCAGGAGGCCGAUGUUAAACAACGCAGGAAGGGACAUCAUCAAAGCAAAGAGCAGCGUGCGGAUCCCCUUUGCUCCUUUGACUAGACGUAGGAUUCGGCCAAUCCUGGCAAGACGGAUCACUCGGAACAGGGUAGCAGAGAUCUCUGGAGGUGAAACAUUGCUCUGAACUGGCAUUGAUUCUAGCCCAGCUCUUGUAGACCAAUUACCAACUUCUCCAUCUCCCUCCAGUGCCUGGAACUGGACCUGGCACACAGGCAAAGGGUUAUCAACUGUGCUGCACUCUGAGGAGCUUGACCGGUUUAAUCUCUAGAAAGGAAUUCACCACCCCACCAGCCUUUAGACUAAAAAGAAAACAAAUAUUACAUACCCUGAAUCUGUGCUGAAACCACAAAGGAGAGCAUCUUUGGAUCCUUCCAAGUAAUAAAAAUAUUCUGUUGAAGAAGAAUUUGAACAGUUAUAACAUCACAGACUUUAAUCUGUGAUUGUGAUAAAGGAGGUCAAAUUAAAAAAUCUGAUUAUUGGGAGACUUUUGGAGUAAUCAUGGAAGAAAGACUAUGAAAUCAGAUAUUCUUGGAUUUGAAUGUUGCUUCUAUCCCUUCUUAAACAUUCCAUGCUGGAAAAAUCAGACCCCAGAGGUUUGCUGUUAUUGGAACACUGUGCUGCCUGAGAUUUUCAUAAAUUUGCCGUUUCAAAAAGCUGAAAGUACUUACGCAAAAACAAUGACGACAAAAUCCAGCCAGUUCCACGGGUCACGAAGAAAAGUGAAUUCUCCUACACAGAAGCCUCUUGCAAGGAUUUUUACAAGUGAUUCAAAAGUAUAUAUUCCAGUAAAAGUGUACCUAAACACAAGAUUCCAUUGGGAUACUAGAUGUGAAAAGAAUACAACCACCAUGUAAAUCUUUAUAACUUAUUUUCUCUAAUUAACCACUGGAAGACAUAUAUUGGAGGAUGGCUGUUGGGUUAUGGACACACCCUAUUAAACUACAAUAGGUCUAUCCAGAAAAUAUUAAAAUGUCAAUAUCAGAAACACUCCCAGAAAGCAGAGGUACUUGAAAUAACUAAGAAUAUAGGUCUCAGAUCUGCCUAAAAAUUUCCUACAUUGCUUCUAUCAAAAAUUCACCCAAUCAUUUAAAAAUACACCCAUAUAAUUAUAAAACAUACACCCAAGAAUAAAAUAUGUGUAACAUGUCUAAGAACAGGAUGGAGCAUCUGACAAGUUCAUUCUUUGAGAAAACACUGUAGCAUCUAAUUUUUCUAAUCUAGCAGGUUAAUAUCAUAGAGGAGGUAAAGAACAAAAGAAAAGCAAGCAUAUAACAUGGGAAGGUAAAGAUUCCCCAUCUUCAUAAAUGCAGUAACUUCCUGGCAGGAAAAGGAAAGGAUGAAAUGAUAAUACCAAAACUAUAUUAAAAUGUACUUAUACCCACUUACUCGACAUUUUUGGUCCAGUCCGGUGGGUUAUUCAUGGUCAUAAAUAUGCAGUUUGUCAGAAUAGUGCACAUGAUGAGCAUGCUGAAUAAGGUAGCUUAGAAUCAAGGAACAAAAGAGACGACAGUGGGAAUUUGAAAUAUUUGAGGAUGACACUUGUUGAAAUGCUUACAACUUUUCCUAAGAAAAAAAUUCUAAAUGAGCUUGUAGACUAUUUUGUCUCUUUGAACAAGAGAGUAAUAAAUAAAAGUAACAUAUCCUAAAAUCUUAAUAUUGCCAC
ensembl:lncRNA SCN1A-AS1 SCN1A and SCN9A antisense RNA 1